CAGAGCUUAAACAUUAGAAAUUGGGAACUGCAGGUGCCUGAACUGUAGGAAUAGCUUCAUGGGAGUUCAUGUUUCCAAAUUUCUAACCUCAAAGCCCAGACAAAUACUCAAUGCAGCACAAACGCUUCUCUUCUCAGGCUAUUCCCCUCUGCAUUCUGAUUAAAGAAGUGUUCUGGAGAACAAGCCAGAUGGGAAUAAAUCUGGUUUUUCGCUUUUCUCUAAUUGAAUAUUGCUUCUGUUUGGAGUCAGUGCCUUUCCCCGCCUUCCCAGCGCCUCACAGGAAGGGGGUGCACAGAACAGAGCUUCGUGAGCGAGACUCCAGUGCACCAUGGCGACAUCGUGCCAUAAAAGUGUCUUCUCUCAUUUUCAAGGCCAAAUGGAAAUGGAGCCUUUUAUGAAGUUUCCCUCUUUUUAAGCUGGAAAGUUGGCAGCGACGUCGUUUCGAAGUGAGUCGGAAAGUCUGGGUUGGGCUGGCAACAUCACCCCUAAGAUGAGGGCCGUUUACAAGUUUGUUUAUAAAAAGUGGGGGAGCUGGAGCUGUGUUUUCUUGGCGCUGUGCUGGAAUUCUGACCACUCGAAGAUGAGAUCUCAUUCUAGGAGUGCUUGCUAGUGCCUCCUUCAGGGACCAACCCUGUCAAGUGGGAAGGCAUGAAGUUCGAGAAGUCAGCAUUCCCAGAGGCAGGUCAGCUUGCUUUCAUUCUGUCGUACUCGGUUUCCUUACUUUCCUCCUAACACGUUACCUCUGAAGCAAAUGUUCCCGAGCACUGUCCCCUUCUAGAAAGACCUUGUAUGAGAACCUUAUCUUUGCACAGAGUGUGGAGACCGCCAUUAGGGCAGACGGGAUGGAUUUGACCAACCCAGGUCACAAACCAGUGAUGAUGGAGAGGAGAAUUCCACGAGUUAGCCAGGGCGCAGCGGGACAGAGGGAACCUGGCUCCUUACUUACAACAGCUUCUUGGAGCAAGGAAUCUUGGACAAAAAAAUAAAAGCAUUAGAUCGGUUCAAGGCUAUUUGUUCAACUCCACAUCUAACUCUGCUCUGGGUCCCAGAGACACCAACGUACACAAGAUUCACUCCUUAUGUCCCAGGAGCCCAUGGUCUACCCAGGAAGGCAGAGAAGGAAGACCUGUUCUGUGAGGCUGAAUAACUGAGCUGUGGGUAGGAACCUGAAGAGAGCAGAGCCAGGGCAGACCCCAAGGAGGGGAACUGAGCGGAGCCUGGCAAGAUGAACCCCAGCUUGCCCUCCUCCAUUGAGUGUGGUGAGGAGGCCCACAAAGGGCCUAGAAAUGUUCAUCAUGGAGCUUGGGAGAGAGGGAGAGAGGGGCCGCUCAAACUGUAUGUUGGUAUCACCAUUAUAAUUGCCUACACUUUACAAAAAGGCAAAACUGUACAAAACUGUCACUUUCUGAAAAGGUGACAGAAUUCAGAGGUGGAGACUCCACCCAAGUACCGUCAGGCACAGCUGCUGCUGGGAAGCCUCUCCAAAAUAAGUUGAAGGCCACAGGCCUUGGAUGCUGGGCAGAUAGCAGAGACUGCUGGGCACCCCGGUGCCACAGAGUGCAAGAAGGUUCUCCCCCCACAGCCCCUUCCACGAACACCCUGGCACCUGCCCUGCAUGGUCCU
rnacentral:lncRNA from 1 species